rnacentral:rRNA from 1 species
GACGAACGCUGGCGGCGUGCCUAAUACAUGCAAGUCGAACGCAUUUUCUUUCACCGUAGCUUGCUACACCGAAAGAAAAUGAGUGGCGAACGGGUGAGUAACACGUGGGUAACCUGCCCAUCAGCGGGGGAUAACACUUGGAAACAGGUGCUAAUACCGCAUAAUUCCAUUUACCGCAUGGUAAAUGGAUGAAAGGCGCUUUUGCGUCACUGAUGGAUGGACCCGCGGUGCAUUAGCUAGUUGGUGGGGUAACGGCCUACCGAGGCUGCGAUGCAUAGCCGACCUGAGAGGGUGAUCGGCCACACUGGGACUGAGACACGGCCCAGACUCCUACGGGAGGCAGCAGUAGGGAAUCUUCGGCAAUAGACGCAAGUCUGACCGAGCAACGCCGCGUGAUUGAAGAAGGUUUUCGGAUCGUAAAACUCUGUUGUUAGAGAAGAACAAGGAUGAGAGUGGAAAGUUCAUCCCUUGACGGUAUCUAACCAGAAAGCCACGGCUAACUACGUG